GACCUGGUGGUGAAAUGUAUCACACUGCUUUGCCUUAAUGGCAUAGAUGUAUGUACUCGUGGGAGUCCCCGGUUCGAGUCCAGGCUAGGUCA